GGUGCAGCGCUGUCCGCUGCUCCGCCCCCGCGCGCCUCGCGGACCACCGGCCUCGGGCCACCUGGGAUGCGCGAGCCGGAGGCAGAGUGUGGGGCGAGGAGAGGGACGGUGCAGGAGCAGGGAAAGAUAAAAGGACCAGAGUCUCACCAUCAGUGAAAGGUUUACUGAUGUCACACAACUAUGAAUUACAGUCACGAUUCUGGAAACCAACUGCCUUCACUUCCAGCACAGCACCCUUCCCUCUAUCUGGAGGUCCAAGAUCAAGGUGCCAGAAGAUUCAGUGAAUGCAACAGCAUCUCAUAUUUGGACUCUGGAAAAUUUGGAGGAGAGAGUUUCUACAGUCAUGACUCCAAGCAUGACUUGGUAAAUAUAAACAACAGGGUAGUGAUUGGACUCAAGCCUUGUUAGUCCUGGUAGACCA